CGGUUCGAACCCCGGCUUCCUACCUGCAGGGGAGUCGCUUCACAGGCAGUGAAGCAGGUCUGCAGGUGUCUAUCUUUCUCUCCUCCUCUCUGUCUUCCCCUCCUCUCUCCAUUUCUCUCUGUCCUAUCCAACAACGACAACAACAAUAAUAACUACAACAAUAAAACAACAAGGGCAACAAAAGGGAAUAAAUAAAUAAAAUAAAUAUAUUUUUAAAAAAAGUAAAAAUAAGUGUGCUGGAGAUAAUAGCCCAUCUUAUUGUCUCUAACUGUUGUUACUGUCUACAAAAAUCUAAAGCUUUAUUUUUCACUGUUCCAUCCAUUAAAAAAAAAAACCAAAAUACAUAAAUAGGACCAGCAAAAUAGCUUACCUGGAGUGUGCAUGCUUUGCCAUGCUUUCCAUGCAGCUCAGACUUAGGCCCAAUGUCUUAUUGCAUUGUAGGGAACUUCAGGGCUGUUUCUGUCUGUCUGAAAGAAGUCAUCCCAGAGAGGUGAAACUCUGUGACGGGGGAAACAAACAAACAAACAAAAAAAAACCUUGCCACUAUUUCUUCCAAAAGACAUGCUUUACUCACUUAUUUUUCUCCAUUCUCAUGCUAUCACACUAGUAUCACGCUAGUAUCUAGUAUCUCGUGCUAUCACAUUGUUUUUUAAUCUUAUCUUCUAACCUGUGUUCUUACAUAAGAUUUUCAGUCUUACCCUCAACCAGUUCUUAUCAGUAUACAGUCAUCCCUCAUAUUGCAGUUAGUCAGUUCUAGACUGUACCUUGAUAGGUGAAUUUCUGUGAAGUAGGAUUAUUUAUUUCUAAAUCGAAUAUUUUCAUAGUUAGAGCAUAGAAAACCAGUGUAUGACCUUCUAAGUACGGGUUUUCACAUUCCUAGAGCCCUCUAGACAUUAAAUAACACCCCUUUAGCUUUGUUUCCUUGUUGAAAGAGACAGUAGCUGUUGCACAGAUAUUUUUUCAUCUUUCUGGGUGGAGCAAACGGUAGACUCAUUCAAGUUGUAAUGGCAGCAACUUCCAUAAUUUUUUUGUCAUCUUUGAUCAUAUCCAAGAGUGUCACCUUCUCCUGGAUGGUAAGCAUCUUCAUCGGCGCUUAGUUUCAUUGUCAGGAGGCUUAAAAGAAGCAGCAUGUUUAGCACUGGGCUUAGAUAAAGGUUCUCAGAAAUCACAAACAUUUCCAAGAGCAAAGAUGCUGUAUAGCAAUGUAGAAACACGCUCUGAUUGGCUUGGUUUUCCCACACCUGAUUACACACACACACACACACACACACACACACACACACACACACACACACGUCAAGCAGCUGCACCUGGCCUUAAAGGAUUUGCGGGGGUGCUCAAAUGCAUAGGCUUACAGUGCAUACAUACAGUCAUCUUAAUUGUAAUACAGGAAUGUAUACUUGACUCAGACAACUGUGUGUGUGCUGUAUAAUUUUCACUGUCUCCAUCAACUUUUUCAUGAGUUUAUUUGAAAAAACUGAGAUAGAAUGAAGCCGUGAAAGUCGAAACAUGAAGUG